rnacentral:rRNA from 1 species
AAUGAACGCUGGCGGCAUGGCUAAGACAUGCAAGUCGAACGGACCAUAUAAUUGGGUAACCGAAAGUAUGGUUAGUGGCGAAAGGGUGAGGAAUAGAUAGGAACGUACCCUGUGCUCUGGGAUAGCGUCUGAAGCUUCGGCUUCUUCCGAAAGGGGCGGUAAUACCAGAUAAUGUCCUUCGGGACCAAAGAUUUAUCGGCAUUGGAGCGGCCUAUCUCCUAUCAGCUUGUUGGUGAGGUAACGGCUCACCAAGGCAACGACGGGUAGCGGGACUGAGAGGUUGGCCCGCCACAUCGGGACUGAGACACUGCCCGGACCUCCACGGAGGGCUGCAGUAACGGAUAUUGGGCAAUGGGCGAAAGCCUGACCCAGCAAUGCCGCGUGCAGGAUGAAGCCCCUAGGGGUGUAAACUGCUGUCAGGGGUCAGAAAGCUGGUUUCGGCCAGUUGAUCAACCCCAGAGGAAGUCACGGCUAACUUCGUGCCAGCAGCCGCGGUAAUACGAAGGUGGCAAGCGUUAUUCGGAAUCAUUGGGCUUAAAGGGCACGCAGGCGGAACAGUGUGUGUUGUGUGAAAUCCCCCGGCUUAACCGGGGAAUUGCACAGCAAACUGCUGUUCUUGAGGCAGGUAGGGGUGCAUGGAACUCUUGGUGGAGCGGUGGAAUGCGUAGAUAUCAAGAGGAACGCCAGAGGUGAAGACGGUGCACUGGGCCUGUCCUGACGCUGAGGUGCGAAAGCGUGGGGAGCG